rnacentral:rRNA from 1 species
UACGGGGGGGGCAAGCGUUGUUCGGAAUUACUGGGCGUAAAGGGCUCGUAGGCGGCCAACUAAGUCGGAUGUGAAAUCCCCAGGCUCAACUUGGGAACUGCAUCCGAUACUGGAUGGCUUGAAUUCGGGAGAGGGAUGCAGAAUUCCAGGUGUAGCGGUGAAAUGCGUAGAUAUCGGGAGGAACACCAGUGGCGAAGGCGGCCGGCUGGGGGUGACCUGACGCUGAGGCGCGAAAGCGUGGGGAGCGAACCGG